UGGGGAAUUUUGGACAAUGGGCGAAAGCCUGAUCCAGCAAUGCCGCGUGUGUGAAGAAGGCCUUCGGGUUGUAAAGCACUUUUGUCCGGAAAGAAAUCCUUGGCUCUAAUACAGUCGGGGGAUGACGGUACCGGAAGAAUAAGCACCGGCUAACUACGUGCCAGCAGCCGCGGUAAUACGUAGGGUGCAAGCGUUAAUCGGAAUUACUGGGCGUAAAGCGUGCGCAGGCGGUUUGCUAAGACCGAUGUGAAAUCCCCGGGCUCAACCUGGGAACUGCAUUGGUGACUGGCAGGCUAGAGUAUGGCAGAGGGGGGUAGAAUUCCACGUGUAGCAGUGAAAUGCGUAGAGAUGUGGAGGAAUACCGAUGGCGAAGGCAGCCCCCUGGGCCAAUACUGACGCUCAUGCACGAAAGCGUGGGGAGCAAACAGGAUUAGAUACCCUGGUAGUCCACGCCCUAAACGAUGUCAACUAGUUGUUGGGGAUUCAUUUCCUUAGUAACGUAGCUAACGCGUGAAGUUGACCGCCUGGGGAGUACGGUCGCAAGAUUAAAACUUAAAUGAAUUGACGGGGUCAUAGCU
rnacentral:rRNA from 1 species